CUCUACGUGACGGUUUUCCCUGAGGUCCUUGGGUCUUGGGCUGCCGUUGUAAGGCGUUCCCAUCGCGUCUGCGUCUGCGUCUGCGUCUGCGGUCUUCUCCGGGCAUUCCUCGGGUGUCGUGCCUGCGUCCGUCACGCGCGGUGGCUCGCAGGGGCACACCACCCAGGGCGUUGGCGGGCUCUGGUCGGGGGGAGCCCUACACCUGCGGCAGCCUUAACGGGGAACCUGUCAGAGACAAGGGCUGACAUGGGCAGCGAGUCUUGUAGACUCAUUUGCGUUCUGAAUUCUGGUGGGGGUAGUGAUGGACACUGUCCCAGUUCACAGAAUUCUUUGGCUGGGAAAAAAAUCAAGGUGAACUAAAGAAAAUGAGCGUUGGCCCAAGGAGAUAGAAGAUGGGGAAGGUGAGAUGUGAGAAGAUAAGGACAAUGGCAGUAGAGACGAGAAGAAUGGCAGGAAGAAUGCUACUGCCCCAGGAAAGGAAGUAGGGGAGGAAAAGUCUCUGGCUCCUGUGUUUGCUGAGAAGUUAAUAUCACCAAGCAGGAGGGGAGCCAAGCUCAAGGACCAUGAGAGCCAUCAGGAGAUUGAAGACAGGAACAGUGAGUUGGACCAGGAUGAGGAAGCUAAAACCCUUCUCCAGGGGGUUCUUGGCGAGUGUAGAUCAAAGUGCCAAAACACUUUUGAUCAAGAACGUGCCUGACAGAGUCACUCAACAUGAAUUAAAAGAAGUAUUUGAGGAUGCUUUUCAAAUCAGAUUAGUGAGCAAGGAUGAGAUGAGUGAAAGAUGGAGUUUCAUUAUUGUUGCCUAGGCUAGAGUGUAGUGGUGAGGGUCUCAGCUCACUGCAGCCUCUGCCUCCCAGGUUCAAACGAUUCUCGUGCCUCAGCCUCCCAAGUAGCUGGGAUUACAGGUACUCGCUACCACACUGGCUUUUUUUUUUGUAUUUUUAACAGAGACAGGGUUUCACCAUAUUGGCCAGGCUGCUCUUGAACUCCUGACCUCAGGUGAUCCACCCGCCUUGGCCUCCCAAAGUGCUGGGAUUAUUGGCGUGAGCCAUUGCGCCCAGCCUGAAUAUUGGUUUUAUAGACACAUUUGAGCUAAAUGUGUUGGUGUAGGUGAACUCUAAAAUAAUCUGUAGCAUUGUGUUCUGAUGAACCUAAUCUCUAGAGAGGAUACUACAGAUCUAACAAGCCUAAGACAGAACUAUAUAUAUUGACCUGGAAAGCCAUGAUAAAUAUAGGAAAGCAAAUCUCAAAAGAAUAAAUUCCAAAUUGUUAGCAGUGUUUACCAGGAGGAGAUUUGGGAGCACUCUGCUUGUUGUCUCUGGAAAACAAGCAAACAGAUUUCUGCCAAAAGCUAUAUAAUUUGUCAAGGUUUAAUUAGGUUUUAAUUAAAUUAAUUUAAUUUUUAUAUCUUUAUAGUCAUUUCCGUGCAUGGAGAAUUAUCAUAUCACUUCUCAGCCUUUUGGCUAAGGUCAAGUGUAGUAUCUGUUCUCAAUUUAAUAUCUGAUAUGUCCUAAAUUAAAAACAAACAAAAAAAAGAAUUAUUGUAAAGGGGAGAUAAGAGAAGCCAGAGAAUCCAUGGCCAUGCGAAAUAAGGCCUAGUCCCUAUGCCAGAAGAGAGUGUGCUGCAUGAUCCUUAAGAAUCUGACUCAGGCCAGACUUGGUGGCGCACUCCUGUAAUCCUGGCACUUUGGGAGGCUGAGGCAGGCAGAUCACCUGAGGUCAGGAGUUCGAAACCAGCCUGGCCAACAUGUUGAAACCCUGUCUCUACUAAAAAUACAGAAAAUUAGCUGGACAUGGUGGUGGGCACCUGUAAUCCCAGCUACUCGGGAGGUCGAGGCAGGAGAAUCACUUGAACCCAGGAGCUGUAGGUUGCAGUGAGCCGAGAUUGCGCUGUUGCACUUCAGCCUGGGCAACGAGCAAAACUCCAUGUCAAAAAAAAAAAAAAAAAGGGAGAGAGACAUUCUUUGCCAAGAGUCGCCACAGUUUCCUGCUUCAGUGCUUGGAUGGAACCCAGCGCUCGUCCCCCAUCCUGGCCAGCCACCCAUAGCCAGCCCUCCGUCACCUCCACACUGCGCCCUUGGACUGCCCGAAGGCCCCCUCUGCCACUCCAGCACCACACAGCCACCACCUCUCCUUACCCGCCACCAUGAUGACCACUUCCUCCUUGCAGGUGCGCCAGAACUAUCCCCAGGACUCAGAGGACACCAUCAACUGCCAGAUAACCUGGAGCUCUAUGCCUCCUGUGUCUACCUGUCCAUGUCUUACUACUUUGACCAUGAUGAUGUGGUUUGAAGAACUUUGCCAGAUACUCUUCACCAAUCUCAUGAGGAGAGGCAACAUGCUGAGAAACUGAUGAAGCUGCAGAACCAAUGAGGUGGCCAAAUCUUCCUUCAGGAUAUCAGGAAACCAGACAAUGUUGACUGGGAGAGUGGGCUGAAUGAGAUGGAGUGUGCAUUACAUUUGGAAAAAAAUAUGAAUCAGUCACUACUGGAACUGUACAAACUGGCCACUGACAAAAAUGACCCCCAUUUGUGUGACUUCAUUAAGAGAUAUUACCUGAAUGAGCAGGUGACAUCCAUCAAACAAUUGGGUGACCACGUGACCAACUUGGGCAAGAUGGGAGCAUCCCAGUCUGACUUGGCAGAAUAUCUCUUUGACAAGCACACCCUGGGAGACAAUGAUAAUGAAAGCUAAGCCUUAGGCUGAUUUCCCCAUAGCCAUGGGGUGACUUCCCUCGUCACCAUGGCAGUGCAUGCAUGUUGGGGUUUCCUUUACCUUUUCUAUAAGUUGUAUCAGACAUCCACUUAAGUUCUUUGUACAAUUCCUUCAAAUAAAGUACCCUCCCCCCCAAAAAAAAGAAAAAGAAUUUUCUUUUAAACAUAAGAAAACUACUCAUCCUCACUCAUAGUAAGAGGAUUGCAAAUGAAAUCUACAUUGAGAUACAACUUUUUACCUAUCAGGUAGUCACAGAUCAAAAGGUUUAUUAACACAGUGGAAAAGAGGGUAAAAAAACUGGCAUGCUCGCCGGGCACAGUGGCUCAUGCAUGUAAUCCCAGUACGUAGGGAGGCCGAGGCGGGCAGAUCACCUGAGGUCGAGAGUUCAAGAUCAGCCUGACCAACAUGGAGAAACCCCAUUUCUACUAAAAAUACAAAAAUUAGCUGGGCAUGGUGGCGCACACCUGUAAUCCCAGCUACUCGGGAGGCUGAGGCAGGAGGAUGGCUUGAACCCAGGAGGCAGAGCUUGCAGUGAGCUAAGAUUGAGCCGUUGUACUCCUACCUGAGCAACAAGAGCAAAACUCAGUCUUAAAAAAAAAAAAAGUGGCAAGCUCAUACUUUGUUAUUGGAAGUGAAAUUGGAGAAAUUUCUAUGGAGAUUAGGUACUUAGCUCUAUCUGUUAAAGUUAUAGUUGCAAAUACCAUUUUAUCUUGCUCCUCCUAAGAAUUUAUCCCAUAAUCUCAGACAAGAGUGAAAUAACGUAUUGCCAAGUUGUUUGAUGCAAAAUUAGAAUUAACCUGAAUAUCAAGCAACAGGUGGUUAAAAUUGUCUGGCAGAUCCAUAAGAUAUUAUUCUAUAUAGCUGUAAAAAGGAGUGAAAUUACAUUUUGUAUAGUGAUGGGAAAUAAUCUCUAGUAUACAUUAUUAAGUGAAAAAAGACAGUAUAGAAUAGUGUGUAUAGUAUUCUGCCUUUUAUGUAAAAAUGUAAUGGAGAACACAGUGUACACAAAAAAUUACUCAACAUGGAUCAAAGACCUAAAUGUAAGAGCUAAAACAUAAAAUUCUUAGAAGAAAACACGGCAAUAAAACUUUGUACACAAGUGAUUAAAGAAAAUUGAGAAAUUGGGCUUAAUCAAAAUUAAAAAUGUUUGUGUUUCAAAGGCCAUUUUUAAAAAGUCAAAGAAAAUCUGUAGACUGGCUGUGCACAGUGGCUCACACCUGUAAUCCCAGCAUUUUGGGAGGUCAUGGUGGAUAAAUCAUGAGGUCAAGAGAUCAAGACCAUCCUGGCCGACAUGGUGAAACUCUGCCUCUAUUAAAAAUACAAAAAUUAACUGGGCGUGGUGGCAUGCGCCUGUAGUCCGAGCUACUCAGGAGGCUGAGGCAGGAGAAUCGCUUGAACCCAAGAGGCAGAGGUUGCAGUAAGCCGAGAUCGCGCCAUUGCACUCCAGCCUGGCAACAGAGCAAGACUCCGUCUCAAAAAUAAAAAAUAAAAAUACAAAAUUAGCUGGGUGUGGUGGUGUGUGCCUGUAAUCUCAGCUAAUUGGGAGACUGAAGCAGAAGAAUCACUUAAACCUUGGAGGUGGAGGUUGCAGUGAGCCAAGAUUGCUCCAUUGCCCUCCAGCUUGGGCAACAAGAGUGAAAAUCUGUCUGAAUAAAAAAAAAAAAAGGAAAUCUAUAGACUGGAAGAAAAUAGUUGCAAAUCAUAUAUCUGACAAGGGACUUGUGUCCAAAUAUAUAAAGAACUCAUAUUUUAAUUCAAUAAAAAGGCAACCCAGUUAAGAAAUGGGCAAAGGAUUUGAAUGUGAACAUUUCUCCAAGCAAGGCAUAUGAAUGGCCAGUAAGCACAUGAAAAGAUGCUCACCAUUUGUUGCUGGGGAAAUACAAAUCAAAACCAUGAUGUGAUAUACUUCACAUUCAUUAGAAUGUCUAUAACAAAGAAGGUAAAUAGUCACAAGUGUUGACAAGGAUGUGGAAAAGUUGGAGCCCUCAUAUGUUGCUGGUGGGAAUUUAAAAUAAUAUAGUUGCUUUGGAAAAGUUUGACAGUUUCUGAAAAUGUUAAACAUAGAGUUGCCAUAUGGUCCAGCAAUUCUCUUAAGUAUCUACCUCAAAGAAAUGAAAACACAUGUUCACACUUUUCUACAAAUGUUCACGUCAGCAUUAUUUAAUAGUCAAAAAGUAGAAAUGACCCCAAAAUUCUAUCGGUUGAUGGAUUGAUAAAGUAUGGUAUGUCCUUCCAUAUAUGACAUGUCCAGGAUAGCCAGAUCUUUACAGACUGAAACUAGAGCAGUAGUUGCUUGUGGCUGGGAGUGAGAAUGGGUUGGGGGGAAUGCGGAGUGACUGCUGAUGGGUACUUUUGGGGACAAGAAAAAUGUUCCAAAGUUGGUUUACAAUGAUGAUUGUACAGUUGUGUAAAUGUAUUAGAAACCAUUGUAAACUUUAAAUAGGUGAAUAUUAUGAUACGUUAAUUAUAUCAAGCUUUUUGAGAA